rnacentral:ncRNA from 1 species
AUCUUCGGGGUAAGGUGAAAUUCCUGACCGGCGGUGAAUGGUUCAAUCAGCACUUAGCGAUUGAAUCACAGCCCGCGACUCGCUGUCCGUCCUUUGGGACGAUAGCGACUGAUCUGGUGCAAAUCCAGAGCCGACGGUAAAGUCCGGAUGGGAGAAGAU